rnacentral:rRNA from 1 species
UACGGGGGGGGCAAGCGUUGUUCGGAAUUACUGGGCGUAAAGGGCUUGUAGGUGGCCAACUAAGUCAGACGUGAAAUCCCUCGGCUUAACCGGGGAACUGCGUCUGAUACUGGAUGGCUGGAGUGUGGGAGAGGGAUGCGGAAUUCCAGGUGUAGCGGUGAAAUGCGUAGAUAUCUGGAGGAACACCGGUGGCGAAGGCGGCAUCCUGGACCAUUACUGACGCUGAGGCGCGAAAGCUAGGGGAGCAAACGGG